UGGAAGACUAGUAAUUUUGUUGU
rnacentral:ncRNA from 3 species